rnacentral:rRNA from 1 species
GAUGAACGCUGGCGGCGUGCUUAACACAUGCAAGUCGAACGAUGAAGCCCAGCUUGCUGGGUGUAUUAGUGGCGAACGGGUGAGUAACACGUGAGUAACCUGCCCUUAACUCUGGGAUAAGCCUGGGAAACUGGGUCUAAUACCGGAUAGGAGCGUCCACCGCAUGGUGGGUGUUGGAAAGAUUUAUCGGUUUUGGAUGGACUCGCGGCCUAUCAGCUUGUUGGUGAGGUAAUGGCUCACCAAGGCGACGACGGGUAGCCGGCCUGAGAGGGUGACCGGCCACACUGGGACUGAGACACGGCCCAGACUCCUACGGGAGGCAGCGGUGGGGAAUAUUGCACAAUGGGCGCAAGCCUGAUGAAGAGACGCCGCGUGAGGGAUGACGGCCUUCGGGUUGUAAAACUCUUUCAGUAGGGAAGAAGCGAAAGUGACGGUACCUAAAGAAGAAGCACCGGCUAACUACGUG